UCUUUUUUGAGAUGUAUAUUAUAUAUGUAUUAUAUAUAUGGAAUAUAUAUAUUUUUUCUUUUUUGAGAUAGAGUCUUGCUCUGUCAUCUAGGCUGGAGUGCAGUGGUGCAAUCUCUGCUCACUGCAACCUCUGCCUCCUAGGUAGAAGUGAUCCUCCUGCUUCACUUCUCAAGUAGCUGGAAUUACUGGCUCAUGCCACCAUGCCCAGCUAAUUUUUGUAUUUUUAGUAGAAACAAAGUUUCACCCUGUUGGCCAAGCUGAUCUUGAACUCCUCACCUGAAAUGAUCCACCCACCUUAGCCUCCCAAAGUGCUGGAAUUACAGGUGUGAGCCACCACUCCUGGCCCCUUCAGCGUAUGUUUUUAUUGAAUGCCUGUAAUAUGCCAGAUAUUUGUGCUAGAAACUAGGAAUAGCAUGUGAGCAAGACCUCAUAAAAUUACAGCCCAGGACCACACUGCUCAAUAAAGCUGCCGUGAGGAACAUGUUUUGUAUCUGUCUUAUCUGUGAUGGUGGCCACUUACCACAUGUGGCUAUCUUGUACUGAAAAUAUGGUCAGUGUGAGUGAGAAAUGUAUUUUUAAGUUUUGCUUUAUUUGACUUAAAUUUAAAUAGAAAUAGCCACAUGCUAUUUAUAGUGACUACCAUAUUCAACAAUGCAGAACUGAGUGAGAAUCACAUAACAUCUAAAUAGACAAUGAUAAUAUCUCUUAUGUCUUUGGAAGGAGAAACAUAAAAAGCUUUGAGAGCAUAGAUCAGGGGCAUAUGACCUUGUCACUGGGGGAGUGAGAAAGCUUCCUUUAAGAGUGACAUUGAAUGUAUUUCAAAUUCUGCCUAGAACUUCUCAGUGGGAACCUCAGAAAUAUCAUAGUGAGGAAUCAGACAUUGUCCUAUUAUUACAUUCCUUUAAUUGUCCCUGUUUUCUCCUCUCUCUAGGAACUCUCCUACCUCAUUGAUUCUUCUUAGCCCCAAAUAUCCCCAUGCAAAUAAGCCCAUAAAAGGAGCCCUGAGUCCUUCAACUCCAACAUUUCAUCACUGUACCAGAACAGCAAGAAAAGAACUUAAGAACAUUCCCCAAUGUAAAAUUUCUGCGGAAGUUGCUUUAAGCACGGAGUCAAUAUCAUUUAAUUGUAUAUCUCUCUACAGAAUUCAUACAACCCAGCCUAUAAUAAAGUUACAGGCACAUAACUUGAUUCAUAUAGGCAGUUUAGGAGUGUUUAUCUCUAUGCUGGAGAAAUUGGUAUAAACGAACUGUGGUCAUAUCCUUUUUUAAAUGGUGCAAAUGUGUUAGGCUGCAGGGUUCAUAAAUUAGCUUUUCAGAGAGUUCAAUCAUAAUGGAAUAUGCUUAAUAUUCACACAUUGUAAUUUGAACAUUAAAGAUCUCGAACAAAGAUCACGGUCUUGGAAGGUAUUAAAUAAAAAAAAAAUACUCCCCUGGAAUUGCA
rnacentral:lncRNA from 13 species